UGUGUAUAGGACAGGAAGCAAGUGACUGC
rnacentral:piRNA from 1 species